rnacentral:lncRNA from 1 species
UGUUUUUAUUGAAUUGAACGUGUUCAUUCAUUUUGACUACUUUAGUAUAUUUUCUCAUACUAAUUUCUACUCUACCUUCCCGGAGUUCAUUCUCCGGGUAACUCCAUUUAAAUUAUUCUGGUGGAUUCUUUCCAAUCUACUUCCUUUAUGAUUUCGUUCGAAAUCAUAUAAAGACAAUUCCUAUUUGAUAUAGCUAUUUGUGCAAGUAUUUUACGGUUAAGAAGCAACUGUCUCUUGUACAGAUCGUGUAUUAAUCUACUAUAACUAUAGGAUACUCCCCUUUCGCGAAUUACUGCGUUUAUCCUAGUGAUCCACAAACGACGAAAAUCUCUCUUUUUCCUAUCCCUAUCCCGAUGAGCCGAAACUAAAGCUCUUAUUUUCUGUUGAGUAAUAGUUCUAGUAAGCCUUGAAUGAGCCCCUCGAAAGCUUGAUGCAAAUAAACGAAUUUUUGUUCUACGUCUCCGAGCUAUAUAUCCCCGUUUAAUUCUGGUCAUUGAAUAAAUGAAACUUUGACGAAUAACUAAUUGAUUGCCUUUCUUUCAGUUAUUCUUUUCCCCCUUCCUAGUCUAUUAAUAACAAAACGGAUUUUUCCAAUGUAUAAAAUCAAAAUUCCAAUGGCUUUGGCUACUCUAACCUUCCCGACCACGAUUUUUUUUAGGUAUUUCACUGCGAAAUAAGACAGAACUAAGAAAUUGUAUUUUCCUAGGUAUCAAAAAUAUAGUAAAUAAAAGAAAUAAAAAAAGAAAUAGUGGGUUCCUUCGUUUCUAUGGUUACUUCUUAAACGGUGAGGUCUUCUCUAUACACCGGAGCCUUUACUUUAUACUUUAAUUUUUAAUAUUUAAUCAACUAAUUGAUGUUAUUGGGAACUUGUAUAGUUCACACGCUUUGGCUCUACCCAUGAAUUGUCCAGUAAUAGGUCUUUCACAAUCAGAUCUACCUAUACAGUAACGGUAUUUAAUUAUGAAAGUUUGCUGGGUAGCUGACCCUCUUAGUCCGUUCUUGCCAGAUUGGGAGCCUACCUAAUCUUUAUGUUUUAUGCUUUUUAAAUAAGAUUUCCUCCGCUUAAUGGAUAACCAUUUGUUACCAAUGGAGAAUUUCUUAUCAUCUUAAAUUCAGGUGAUUGGAUUUACACCAACGGAAACCAUAAACUUCAUACACAAUAGAGGGAUAUGGUAGAGUUUUUUUUUUAUAAUGGAUGGAGUUCCUUUUUCCAUCCUAUCCCAUUCACCGGUACUGAUCAUUGAUACUGUAAAAGUAGUUUUCUUGCUUUUUGUGCCAGCUCAUGAUCUAAACGAGUCGCACAUACACCCUAGUACAUGUUCCUCGACGCUGAGGGCACCCCCGAAGAGCGGGGGAUUUCGUGACAUUUCUGAUUGGCUGUCUUGUAUUUCUAAUAAGUUGUUUAAUAGUUGGCAUGUUGAAUCGUAUACAUAAUAUGAUGGGUUGGUUUAGAUUGAUCCUAACCGAAUGAUGGUGAAUUACUUCUAUUUAAUAGAAUAUUCAAUUCGAAGAUAAAAUCUCAAAUCAUAGAUCUGCGUGAAAUCCAUGUUCUUUUCCUUGAACCGCUACAAAAUCAACAAUUCCAUAAGCUUGGGCUUCUGUUGCUGACAUAAAAAUAUCUCUUUCCAUAUCUUCGUGUAUAACCCACACGGGUUGGCCCGUUUUUUCUGCAUAAACCCUUGUGAGGGUUUCACGCAGUUUCGCCAUUUCUAUCGCUUCCAGGACAAAUUCGCCUACUUGUGCCAUAUAAAAACCACUAUAAGGUUCAUGUAUCAUUACCCUGAUGAUAUAACAAAAUAAAAGCUUCCCCUAUCUCGCAUGAUAAAGCAAAGAAAAAAGAAAGAUAAAGAAUAGAAAAAAGAUAGAAUUGAACAACCGUACAGGCAUCUUUUGUGCAUACGGCUCUACAAGAAAAUUGACCCCCAUUGAAGAAAGAGAAAAAUAGAAUCUAUCAGACUCAGAUGGGUAAAUAAUCAAAUUGCCAUCCUUCCUUUCGGAGGAAUUCAAAAAUACUAUGAUGGCUCCGUUGCUUUAUAUGUUUAUUUUUUCUUUUUUUUGUCUGUGAUUCAGCAAUCCCAAAGUUUCUUUUUAAUCCGAUCAAAUAAGGAAAAAUUAUUUUUUUUUCGUACUCUUUCAUAACAUAAAUAUUGUUAAGAACUCUCCGGCAUGAAAACAAAAAGUUUGUGACGCUGAACUGAACUCCCGAUAUAUAAUAGAAAAUCGGAAAUACCCCUUAUCUCAUACUACUCUCUCGAUACAGAAUCUAAUGUUUUGAAAAAAAAAAACAAUACAAAAAUUUCUCAUAUCGAAUUCGAAGUGCCAUGCUAUUAUUACUUAGUAUUCAUAUGGCGAAGGCAUAGUCUUCUUUUUUCUCUCAAAUAAAAACCUCAUUGGCGCCAAGCGUGAGGGAAUGCUAUACGUUUGGUAAGUUGUCCUCCGGCCAGGAUAAAAGAUCCCAUUGAAGCAGCUAAUCCUAGGCAUAUUGUAUGGAUAUCUGGUC